rnacentral:rRNA from 1 species
AUAAUGGGUCAGCGACUUAUAUUCUGUAGCAAGGUUAACCGAAUAGGGGAGCCGAAGGGAAACCGAGUCUUAACUGGGCGUUAAGUUGCAGGGUAUAGACCCGAAACCCGGUGAUCUAGCCAUGGGCAGGUUGAAGGUUGGGUAACACUAACUGGAGGACCGAACCGACUAAUGUUGAAAAAUUAGCGGAUGACUUGUGGCUGGGGGUGAAAGGCCAAUCAAACCGGGAGAUAGCUGGUUCUCCCCGAAAGCUAUUUAGGUAGCGCCUCGUGAAUUCAUCUCCGGGGGUAGAGCACUGUUUCGGCAAGGGGGUCAUCCCGACUUACCAACCCGAUGCAAACUGCGAAUACCGGAGAAUGUUAUCACGGGAGACACACGGCGGGUGCUAACGUCCGUCGUGAAGAGGGAAACAACCCAGACCGCCAGCUAAGGUCCCAAAGUCAUGGUUAAGUGGGAAACGAUGUGGGAAGGCCCAGACAGCCAGGAUGUUGGCUUAGAAGCAGCCAUCAUUUAAAGAAAGCGUAAUAGCUCACUGGUCGAGUCGGCCUGCGCGGAAGAUGUAACGGGGCUAAACCAUGCACCGAAGCUGCGGCAGCGACGCUUAUGCGUUGUUGGGUAGGGGAGCGUUCUGUAAGCCUGCGAAGGUGUGCUGUGAGGCAUGCUGGAGGUAUCAGAAGUGCGAAUGCUGACAUAAGUAACGAUAAAGCGGGUGAAAAGCCCGCUCGCCGGAAGACCAAGGGUUCCUGUCCAACGUUAAUCGGGGCAGGGUGAGUCGACCCCUAAGGCGAGGCCGAAAGGCGUAGUCGAUGGGAAACAGGUUAAUAUUCCUGUACUUGGUGUUACUGCGAAGGGGGGACGGAGAAGGCUAUGUUGGCCGGGCGACGGUUGUCCCGGUUUAAGCGUGUAGGCUGGUUUUCCAGGCAAAUCCGGAAAAUCAAGGCUGAGGCGUGAUGACGAGGCACUACGGUGCUGAAGCAACAAAUGCCCUGCUUCCAGGAAAAGCCUCUAAGCAUCAGGUAACAUCAAAUCGUACCCCAAACCGACACAGGUGGUCAGGUAGAGAAUACCAAGGCGCUUGAGAGAACUCGGGUGAAGGAACUAGGCAAAAUGGUGCCGUAACUUCGGGAGAAGGCACGCUGAUAUGUAGGUGAAGUCCCUUGCGGAUGGAGCUGAAAUCAGUCGAAGAUACCAGCUGGCUGCAACUGUUUAUUAAAAACACAGCACUGUGCAAACACGAAAGUGGACGUAUACGGUGUGACGCCUGCCCGGUGCCGGAAGGUUAAUUGAUGGGGUUAG